rnacentral:misc_RNA from 1 species
GCUUCUCGCCAAAUCCUCCCCAAGGGAACUCCCUAGACUCCCGUUCUGGCCUCGACUAGAUUCCCGCACUGCCUCUCGCCCUGCUGCUGGGCUCCGAUCGGGUCACCUGUCCCUUCUCUCUCCAGCUAG